CGGCCAUACUCUGGGAACGAGUCUCUUCAGCCCAACCAGUGAGCCCGCUGAUCUCGGAGCUAUAUUCAGGUGGGCUUAUAUUCGGAGGUUUGCCGCAUCCGAUAACAUAUAUCGCUUCAUUUCAGAAAUCCCGUUGCAAGUUGCAACAAAAUUUCCUUGUAUACCAUGACCUUCAGUCUGCCAUAUCCCCUCCACCUAAUUAACUGACGUUGCAGAUUGCUGUUUAGCUAGAACCAUUGAACUAUAAAUAAACUGGAAGGCUAACUGCUAUGAUGAAGGCCUAUGAUUUGAUGAAGCCAAAAUAGUUUUUCUGAGUUAUGAGCAGAAAUACUUGACCCCAAACGUCGGGCUAUAUAUCAAAUUGAAGCUAUUAAAAAUUGCUAUUCGGUGUGGAAAUUUCAAGACCUCAGCGAAAAGAAAAAUAUUUAAAAAAUACAAAAACAACUGUAAAACGGCAAAUUAUCGGUAAUUAUGUUUGUAGUUUUUUAAUAUUUCCCUUUUAGCUAAAGUCUUGAAAUUUCUACAUCAAAUAGCGUUUUUCAAUAGCUUCAAUUUGAUAUAUAGCCCAACGUUCAGUGUUGAGUAUUUCUGCUCAUAACUCAGAAAAACUAAAAUGCACUGGCUUCAAUUUCCCCCCCUGAGUUAGCCUUCCAGUUUAUUUAUAGUUCAAUGGCUAGAACUGACAUUCCAUACAAACGAAUUAGUAUUUUGAAAGUCCUUGUCCUAUUGGGAGGUUAAUUUUAUUGUUCACAUUAAAUGAAACAGAUUUUCAGUUUAAUUUCGGUCCUUCAACUGCGGACCAACGCAACUUGUUUUCUUGAGAACAUUAAAAGAUUUAAAUGCUCCGCAAGUGAAGAUGAAAACAAGGCUUGUGGGUCAUAUCAUGCACACUACGUGACUGUAAAUUUGCCGAAUUUUGUGGCGACGGUUUUUGAACUUUUAUAUUCCUCCAUUGCUAUUUUAAAAAUGUUCGUGACAUCAUCUUUAAACAGGUGAAAAAAGCUGUCAUUGAAAUAUGACUAUUUUAG
rnacentral:lncRNA from 1 species